rnacentral:tRNA from 3 species
GAGCCAUUAGCUCAGCUGGUAGAGCAUCUGACUUUUAAUCAGAGGGUCGGAGGUUCGAAUCCUCCAUGGCUCACCA